rnacentral:rRNA from 1 species
CCAAUAGCGUAUAUUAAGGUUGCUGCGGUUAAAAAGCUCGUAGUUGAAUUUCGGGAUUGAUGCAUCGGUCGUGCCUUAAGGGGUAUGAACUGGUGUGGUCAAUUUCUUACCUUCUGGUGAAUUGUGAUGUCCUCCUUAAUUGGAUGUUUCAAUGAACUAGGACUUUUUACUUUGAAAAAAUUAGAGUGUUUAAAGCAGGC